AUUGAACGCUGGCGGCAGGCCUAACACAUGCAAGUCGAACGGUAGCACAGAGAGCUUGCUCUCGGGUGACGAGUGGCGGACGGGUGAGUAAUGUCUGGGAAACUGCCCGAUGGAGGGGGAUAACUACUGGAAACGGUAGCCAAUACCGCAUAACGUCGCAAGACCAAAGUGGGGGACCUUCGGGCCUCACACCAUCGGAUGUGCCCAGAUGGGAUUAGCUAGUAGGUGGGAUAAUGGCUCACCUAGGCGACGAUCCCUAGCUGGUCUGAGAGGACGACCAGCCACACUGGAACUGAGACACGGUCCAGACUCCUACGGGAGGCAGCAGUGGGGAAUAUUGCACAAUGGGCGCAAGCCUGGUGCAGCCAUGCCGCGUGUAUGAAGAAGGCCUUCGGGUUGUAAAGUACUUCCAGCGGGGAGGAAGGCGGUGAAGUUAAUAGCUUCACCGAUUGACGUUACCCACAGAAGAAGCACCGGCUAACUCCGUGCCAGCCGCCGCCGUAA
rnacentral:rRNA from 1 species